AUCUAGCUGAUGAGUUUCAAAUAGAACAAAACGCACGUUCUGGAU
rnacentral:hammerhead_ribozyme from 1 species